UGGGGAAUAUUGCACAAUGGGCGCAAGCCUGAUGCAGCCAUGCCGCGUGUAUGAAGAAGGCCUUCGGGUUGUAAAGUACUCUCAGCGGGGAGGAAGGCGAUGCGGUUAAUAACCGCGUCGAUUGACGUUACCCGCAGAAGAAGCACCGGCUAACUCCGUGCCAGCAGCCGCGGUAAUACGGAGGGUGCAAGCGUUAAUCGGAAUUACUGGGCGUAAAGCGCACGCAGGCGGUCUGUCAAGUCGGAUGUGAAAUCCCCGGGCUCAACCUGGGAACUGCAUCCGAAACUGGCAGGCUUGAGUCUCGUAGAGGGGGGUAGAAUUCCAGGUGUAGCGGUGAAAUGCGUAGAGAUCUGGAGGAAUACCGGUGGCGAAGGCGGCCUCCUGGACGAAGACUGACGCUCAGGUGCGAAAGCGUGGGGAGCAAACA
rnacentral:rRNA from 1 species